rnacentral:tRNA from 1 species
GCCAGCAUAGCUCAGUGGUAGAGCAACCCACUCGUAAUGGGUAGGUCGUCGGUUCAAAUCCGAUUGCUGGCU